UGGUCAAGUUAUUAAGGGUGCAGGGCGGAUGCCUUGGCACUAGGAGCCGAUGAAGGACGUGAUAAGCUGCGAUAAGCUUCGGGGAGUUGCACGUAAACUUUGAUCCGAAGAUUUCCGAAUGAGGAAACUCACUUAGAGUAAUGUCUAAGUAUCAUUAAGUGAAUACAUAGCUUAAUGAGGGGAACUCAGGGAACUGAAACAUCUAAGUACCUGAAGGAAGAGAAAGAAAUUCGAUUCCGUAAGUAGCGGCGAGCGAACGCGGAUUAGCCCAAACCAAUAAAGUUUUCUUUAUUGGGGUUGCGGACAUAUCAUAACGAAGAGGUAUCGUAAUUGAAGAGGUUUGGAAAGACCCACCACAGAAGGUAAUAGUCCUGUAUGUUAAACGAGAAGACUUCAGAUAUGAUCCAGAGUACCACGGGACACGUGAAACCCUGUGGGAAGCAGGAGGGACCACCCUCCAAGGCUAAAUACUACCUAGUGACCGAUAGCGUAUAGUACCGUGAGGGAAAGGUGAAAAGAACC
rnacentral:rRNA from 1 species